rnacentral:rRNA from 1 species
AUUGAACGCUGGCGGCAGGCCUAGCACAUGCAAGUCGAACGGUAACAGGAAACAGCUUGCUGUUUCGCUGACGAGUGGCGGACGGGUGAGUAAUGUCUGGGAAACUGCCUGAUGGAGGGGGAUAACUACUGGAAACGGUAGCUAAUACCGCAUAACGUCGCAAGACCAAAGAGGGGGACCUUCGGGCCUCUUGCCAUCGGCUGUGCCCAGAUGGGAUUAGCUAGUAGGUGGGGUAACGGCUCACCUAGGCGACGAUCCCUAGCUGGUCUGAGAGGAUGACCAGCCACACUGGAACUGAGACACGGUCCAGACUCCUACGGGAGGCAGCAGUGGGGAAUAUUGCACAAUGGGCGCAAGCCUGAUGCAGCCAUGCCGCGUGUAUGAAGAAGGCCUUCGGGUUGUAAAGUACUUCCAGCGGGGAGGAAGGGAGUAAAGUUAAUACCUUUACUCAUUGACGUUACCCGCAGAAGAAGCACCGGCUAACUCCGUG